rnacentral:rRNA from 1 species
AGUCGAACGAUGAUAUCACUGCUUGCAGUGAUUGAUUAGUGGCGAACGGGUGAGUAACACGUGAGGAACUUGCCCAUGAGCGGGGGACAACAUUCGGAAACGGAUGCUAAUACCCCAUAGGUGGAUUGGUCGCAUGACGAAUUCAUUAAAGGUGGCUUUGCUACCACUCAUGGAUAGCCUCGCGGCGUAUUAGCUAGUUGGUAAGGUAAUGGCUUACCGAGGCAGUGAUACGUAGCCGACUUGAGAGGGUGAUCGGCCACACUGGGACUGAGACACGGCCCAGACUCCUACGGGAGGCAGCAGUAGGGAAUCUUCCACAAUGGGUGCAAACCUGAUGGAGCAAUGCCGCGUGAGUGAAGAAGGUCUUCGGAUUGUAAAGCUCUGUCGUUAGAGAAGAACACGUGCUAGGUAACUACUAGCGCCUUGACGGUAUCUAACCAGAAAGUCACGGCUAACUACGUGCCAGCAGCCGCGGUAAUACGUAGGUGACAAGCGUUGUCCGGAUUUAUUGGGCGUAAAGGGAGCGCAGGCGGUCUGUUUAGUCUAAUGUGAAAGCCCACGGCUUAACCGUGGAACGGCAUUGGAAACUGACAGACUUGAAUGUAGAAGAGGAAAAUGGAAUUCCAAGUGUAGCGGUGGAAUGCGUAGAUAUUUGGAGGAACACCAGUGGCGAAGGCGAUUUUCUGGUCUAACAUUGACGCUGAGGCUCGAAAGCGUGGGGAGCGA